CGUGUAGGCGGUCGGCCAAGUCUGAUGUGAAAGCCCGAGGCUCAGCCUCGGAAGUGCGUCGGAAACUAGUCGGCUGGAGCGCGAUAGAGGAGGGUGGAAUUCCUGGUGUAGCGGUGAAAUGCGUAGAUAUCAGGAGGAACACCGGCGGCGAAGGCGGCCCUCUGGAUCGUUGCUGACGCUGAGACGGCGAAAGCGUGGGGAGCAAACAGGAUUAGAUACCCCUGGUAAGUCCACGCUGUAAACGAUGGGUACUAGGUGUUCGGGGUAUUGACCCCCUGAGUGCCGCAGCUAACGCAUUAAGUACCCCGCCUGGGGACUACGGCCGCAAGGUUAA
rnacentral:rRNA from 1 species